GUGAAGUCUCGCUCUGUCACCAGGCUGGAGUGCAGUGGCAUGAUCUUGGCUCACUGCAGCCUCCACUCCCGGGUUCAAGGCGGUUUCCUGCCUCAGCUUCCCAAGUACUGGACUACAGGAUAUUCGGAAAUUCUUUGGAGUAAUACCAGGUGGAAAGAAACUUGUAAGUGAAACAGUAAAGAAGAAUGAGAAAACAAAGUCUGAUGAAGAAACUUUAAAAGCAAAGAAAGGAAUAAAGGAAAUCAAGGUAAAUAGCUCCCGUAAAGAGGAUGACUUCAAACAAAAGCAACCAAGCAAGAAAAAGAGGAUCAUCUAUGAUUCAGAUUCAGAGUCAGAGGAGACGUUGCAGGUAAAAAAUGCCAAAAAGCCACCAGAAAAACUGCCAGUAUCUUCUAAACCUGGUAAAAUUUCACGGCAGGAUCCUGUUACAUACAUUUCAGAAACAGAUGAAGAAGAUGACUUUAUGUGUAAGAAGGCGGCCUCUAAAUCAAAAGAGAAUGGAAGAUCUACAAAUAGUCAUCUUGGAACAUCAAACAUGAAAAAGAAUGAAGAAAACACUAAGACCAAGAAUAAGCCUUUAUCACCAAUAAAACUUACACCCACAUCAGUACUUGAUUAUUUUGGAACUGGAAGUGUCCAAAGAUCUAAUAAGAAGAUGGUGGCAAGCAAAAGAAAAGAGCUUUCACAAAAUACAGAUGAGUCUGGAUUACAAGAUGAAGCCAUUGCCAAGCAAUUACAGCUUGAUGAAGAUGCGGAGCUGGAGAGGCAGUUGCAUGAAGAUGAAGAGUUUGCCAGAACAUUAGCCAUGUUGGAUGAAGAACCCAAGACCAAAAAGGCUCGAAAGGACACAGAAGCGGGAGAAACAUUUUCAUCUGUCCAAGCCAAUCUAAGUAAAGCAGAAAAACAUAAAUAUCUUCAUAAAGUAAAAACAGCACAAGUUUCAGAUGAAAGAAAGAGCUACAGUCCUAGGAAGCAAAGUAAAUAUGAAAGUUCAAAAGAAUCUCAGCAACAUUCCAAGUCAUCAGCUGACAAAAUAGGAGAAGUCUCUUCUCCCAAGGCCAGUUCUAAGCUGGCAAUUAUGAAAAGAAAAGAAGAGAGCUCUUAUAAAGAAAUAGAGCCUGUGGCCUC
rnacentral:sRNA from 1 species